rnacentral:rRNA from 1 species
CUACGGGGUGCACCAGUGAGGAAUAUUGCACAAUGGGGGGAACCCUGAUGCAACAACGCCGCGUGGAGGAUGACGCAUUUCGGUGUGUAAACUCCUUUUAUAUGUCAAGAAAAUGACGGUAGCAUAUGAAUAAGCACCGGCUAACUCCGUGCCGGCAGCCGCGGUAAUACGGAGGGUGCAAGCGUUACUCGGAAUCACUGGGCGUAAAGGACGCGUAGGCGGGUUGGAAAGUCAGGUGUGAAAUCCUACAGCUUAACUGUAGAACUGCACUUGAAACUUCUAAUCUAGAGUAUGGGAGGGGGAGAUGGAAUUAGUGGUGUAGGGGUAAAAUCCGUAGAUAUCACUAGGAAUACCUAAAGCGAAGGCGAUCUCCUGGAACAUUACUGACGCUAAGGCGUGAAAGCGUGGGGAGCAAACAGGAUUAGAUCCCCGUAGUC